AGAAAAAUAACUAAAUCCUAAUUGGAAUAGGAAAACUAAAUGGAAUAAGAAAACUAUUAAAUUUAAAAGCUGUUGUCUUGCCCAGAAUAGGAAAGAACAUGGGUUUGGGUUGGAAGAGCACCAUGGGCCAUGUUUUGGCCUGCCACUUCUCUUCUCAGUCCAGUAAGGAACAUGCUAGGGGUGUGUUCUUCUCUGGUUGGUGUGGGACUUUCUUCAUUUGCUUCUUCAAUUGCUUCUCCCAUUUUCCCAAAAAUCCCUCACUAAUCUCUUCCAUGUUAUACUCUUAUGGGAGAAAUAUUUUUUGUAAGGAAUAAUGGGCACUGAAGUUUAUUUUUCCUCUGGUAGAUUGAUACGAAUCACCACUACCACAAUAAUUAGUAUAGAUGAGUUUCAAGUUUCAACCGCUGUCCAUCUAUCUCUAACCCCGAAACACAAAUACAAACCAAACACAUAACUGUUACUCUCGUAAUUUUUUACCCAUCAUAUAACUUCUCGCCUUCAAUUUUUGUUUUAACCCUUUGUGAAAUGCACACUUGAUGCUGAAGUUGUCAUAGGCUCUACAAACUAGGAAUUGCUAAGAACAUGUUCAUGUAACAAUGCGAGAAACGGUACCUAAUAUUGUUGGAAACCUUAAGACAGUGGGGAAAUGUAUGCAUCAAGGAAAAGGAGAGCUAGAGAAGAAGAGCAAAUGAGGUUCUGUAGUAACAUAAACUUAAGGGAUGGGGUGAGGCCCUGGGCAAUGUAGGGCUUGUUCGGCAUUUCUGUUCUAUUUUGCUAUUGCUGCUUUAAAAUUGAUGAUUAUAAAACUGUUGUUUUGAAAAAGUAAUUUACCUAUUUGGUAAUAAAAUACAAAGUUGUUGUUAAUAAAGAAAGAUGUUUAUCAUGUGUUUGGUAAAAAUGGCUGUUUAAAAUGCUGUUAAGGACAAAAUGACUAAAAAG
rnacentral:misc_RNA from 1 species